rnacentral:rRNA from 1 species
AACGAACGCUGGCGGCAUGCCUAACACAUGCAAGUCGAACGAGACCUUCGGGUCUGGUGGCUAACGGAUUCGUAACGCGUGGGAAACUGCGCUUAUGUUCUGAAUAACUCCCCGAGAGGGGUGCGGAUACCUGAUAAUGUCUUCGGACCAAAGAUUUAUCGCCUUUGGAUGUGCCCGCGUUGGAUUAGCUAGUUGGUAGGGUAAAAGCCUACCAAGGCGACGAUCCAUAGCUGGUCUGAGAGGAUGAUCAGCCACACUGGGACUGAGACACGGCCCAGACUCCUACGGGAGGCAGCAGUGGGGAAUAUUGGACAAUGGGCGAAAGCCUGAUCCAGCAAUGCCGCGUGAGUGAUGAAGGCCUUAGGGUUGUAAAGCUCUUUUAACCGGGAUGAUAAUGACAGUACCGGGAGAAUAAGCUCCGGCUAACUACGUG